rnacentral:rRNA from 1 species
CCUACGGGAGGCAGCAGUGCGGAAUUUUAGAUAAUGGAGGCAACUCUGAUCUAGCGACGCCGCGUGCAGGAAGAAGGUCUUCGGAUUGUAAACUGCUGUGGUAAGGGAAAAAUGCCAUGUAGAGUGGAAAGCUACAUGGAGGGAUGGUACUUUACUAGAAAGCCCCGGCUAACUACGUGCCAGCAGCCGCGGUAAUACGUAGGGGGCGAGCGUUACCCGGAAUCACUGGGCGUAAAGGGAGCGUAGGUGGCCUGACAUGUCGACUGUGAAAACCCGGAGCUCAACUCCGGACUUGCAGUUGAAACUGCCAGGCUUGAGGACGGUAGAGGAAGACGGAACUGCCAGUGUAGGGGUAAAAUCCUUAGAUAUUGGCAGGAACGCCGGUGACGAGGUGGUUUUUUGGGCCGGUUCUGACACUGAUGCUCGAAAGCCAGGGGAGCGAACG